AGAGAAGUUUUUUUGGUCACAACUUUUUCGCAACUUAUCUUCAUCUCUGGUCAGUGUCCAUGGAAUUGCUGACAUCCCGUCCUUUUUCGCCGAUCCACAGCAGGAGGAAACUGCACUUUUCCUUUUCAGCUCUGUUUUUUAGCGGUCUCGUGAACAAGAGUUCGGCCUGUUGCUUGAAUCUCUGCCACGCAUCUGGUAAAUUGGGUGAGUUGGAACACCGAACGCCUCCUCAUCGUCUUCGUUUGUUUUUUUUCUUCCCUGUGAGUCCGUAGUUACGCUUCCGUCACUCUGACGCCAUGUUAUGAUCUUGCUGUUGUGUUAUUGAAUAACGUAAUAACAUAGACCUGAGUCCAACUCUAAUUGUUAACAUGGUUGAUAUUUAUGUCGCCCCCCCCUCCCCAACCUCUCCCACUGACAUCGACACAAUGCUCUCGAGUUUCAUAUGUGGCUUCUUUCUUUCUUUCUUUGUUCCUUUAUUCCUUACACCAGCACAAGUGCCUCAAUUACUUCUGGUUACAGUGAUCAAACGCUAACCGUAGCCAAAACAUUCCAGUAUACAUUUAUCGCUUCCUAGCCAUAAUUUGUAGACAUGAUCUUGCCGUCCAAAACAAACAAACACGUGGUCAGCGUGACGUCAGUGAAAAGUAUUCGGAACGACAUCGGAUCAGAUGUCAACUGGUGUGACUGAUGGCUUGAUAAUCGAUUGGUGCUGUGUCGGUCCUUGACAGAACGUGCGCGGGUGUCCUCUUCUCAGCGCACUUUGUGUCCAAAAGAGAGAGACAUCGCCAGUGAAUUCAAUUCUCAUGACUUUGUUUCUUCUGCAGAGGAGCGCACACAUCAUUGUGUGUCAUGAUGCAAGCGUUUGGUUAGUGUAUCUCCCUCGUUACAGUCUUCGUGUGCCACUUUAGUCAUUUCUUGUUUUGUUCAUGUUCCACAUUUUGCCUCAGUUAUCGGACCUCGUUUCCGGAUUUUGGGACUUUGCCUUUUUGCCACGUGUUUUUUGAGCUUCUGCCUUUUUGGACUGCUUCCCUGUGUACGACCUCUGAAAGAAUCAAACUACCCUCAAAAAUCAUGUCCCUGCGUUACCCCUUGCUGCAUGCUCGUGACAGGAGGUUUCAUUGUUUAUGAGGAUUAAUUCAAGUUUUCAGUUUUUACAUUGUCAUUAGAAAGUUACUGUCCAUGGUUUUAUUUCUUAUACAUUCCAAAUUCAGUUAUUCAGGUAAAAAAAAAAAAAAAAAAUCUGAACUAAAACGCUCAAAUCUCAUUCUGUUUUUAUGUUUUAUUCAUUCAAUUGUACUGUAAGUGUACAUGCAGUAAAAUGACAAACACAAAUCCAGGCUGACAUUUUGAGGCUCAGCUGUUGAAGGGUCAAAUCAAUACCAAAAUACUCCUUAAAUAAAACUACAAAUGUA